rnacentral:rRNA from 1 species
UUCUGGUUGAUCCUGCCGGAGGUUACUGCUAUUGGAAUCCGAUUAAGCCAUGCGAGUCGAUCGGGUCAGACCCGAGGCGCACUGCUCAGUAACACGUGGAGAAUCUGCCCUUAGGUGAGGAAUAACCUCGGGAAACUGAGAAUAAUACCUCAUAGGUUAUGGAUGCUGGAAUGCUUCAUAGCCAAAAGCCCCGGCGCCUAAGGAUGACUCUGCGGACUAUCAGGUAGUAGUCAGGGUAACGACCUGACUAGCCUACGACGGAUACGGGGUGUGAGAGCACUAGCCCGGAGAUGGAUUCUGAGACACGAAUCCAGGCCCUACGGGGUGCAGCAGGCGCGAAACUUCCGCAAUGCUCGCCAGAGUGACGGAGGGAUUCCAAGUGCCUAUGCUAUGCGUAGGC